UAGUCCACGCCGUAAACGAUGGAUACUAGCUGUCCGCUGCCUUGAGCAGUGGGCGGCCAAGCGAAAGUGAUAAGUAUCCCACCUGGGGAGUACGUUCGCAAGAAUGAAACUCAAAGGAAUUGACGGGGGGCCCGCACAAGCGGUGGAGCAUGUGGUUUAAUUCGAUGAUACGCGAGGAACCUUACCAGGGCUUAAAUGCAUACUGACAGGUCCAGAGAUGGACUUUUCUUCGGACAGUUUGCAAGGUGCUGCAUGGUUGUCGUCAGCUCGUGCCGUGAGGUGUCAGGUUAAGUCCUAUAACGAGCGCAACCCCUACCGUUAGUUGCCAGCGAGUCAAGUCGGGGACUCUAACGGGACUGCCGGUGCAAACCGUGAGGGAAGGUGGGGAUGACGUCAAAUCAUCACGGGCCCUUACGUCCUGGGGCCACACACGUGCUAC
rnacentral:rRNA from 1 species